rnacentral:rRNA from 1 species
CAACGAGCGCCAACCCCUAUUGUUAGUUGCCAUCAUUCAGUUGGGCACUCUAGCGAGACUGCCGGUAAUAAACCGGAGGAAGGUGGGAUGACGUCAAAUCAUCAUGCCCCUUAUGACCUGGGCUACACACGUGCUACAAUGGUUGGUACAACGAGUUGCGAGUCGGUGACGGCGAGCUAAUCUCUUAAAGCCAAUCUCAGUUCGGAUUGUAGGCUGCAACUCGCCUACAUGAAGUCGGAAUCGCUAGUAAUCGCGGAUCAGCACGCCGCGGUGAAUACGUUCCCGGGCCUU